rnacentral:rRNA from 1 species
AUUGAACGCUAGCGGGAUGCCUUACACAUGCAAGUCGAACGGCAGCGCGGACUUCGGUCUGGCGGCGAGUGGCGAACGGGUGAGUAAUGUAUCGGAACGUGCCCAGUAGUGGGGGAUAACUACUCGAAAGAGUAGCUAAUAACGCAUACGCCCUACGGGGGAAAGGGGGGGAUCGCAAGACCUAUCACUAUUGGCGCGGACGAGAUCGGAUUAGCUAGUUGGUGAGGUAAAGGCUCACCAAGGCGACGAUACGUAGCUGGUUUGAGAGGACGACCAGCCACACUGGGACUGAGACACGGCCCAGACUCCUACGGGAGGCAGCAGUGGGGAAUUUUGGACAAUGGGGGCAACCCUGAUCCAGCCAUUCCGCGUGUGCGAUGAAGGCCUUCGGGUUGUAAAGCACUUUUGGCAGGAAAGAAAUCGCACGGAUUAAUACUCUGUGUGGAUGACGGUACCUGCAGAAUAAGCACCGGCUAACUACGUGCCAGCAGCCGCCGUAA